rnacentral:rRNA from 1 species
UGAGGAAUAUUGGUCAAUGGCCGCAAGGCUGAACCAGCCAAGUAGCGUGCAGGAUGACGGCCCUCGGGUUGUAAACUGCUUUUAGUCGGGAAUAAAGUGAUGCCUGCGGGCGUUAUUGCAUGUACCGUACGAAUAAGGACCGGCUAAUUCCGUGCCAGCAGCCGCGGUAAUACGGAAGGUCCGGGCGUUAUCCGGAUUUAUUGGGUUUAAAGGGAGCGUAGGCUGUCCUUUAAGCGUGUUGUGAAAUGUAGGCGCUCAACGCCUGCACUGCAGCGCGAACUGAAGGACUUGAGUGUGCACGACGCUGGCGGAAUUCGUGGUGUAGCGGUGAAAU